UACGUAGGGUGCAAGCGUUGUUCGGAAUUACUGGGCGUAAAGCGCGUGUAGGCUGUUUCGAAAGUCGGAUGUGAAAGCCCUGGGCUCAACCUAGGAAGUGCAUUCGAAACUUCGAGACUCGAGUCCUGGAGAGGAUCGCGGAAUUCUCGGUGUAGAGGUGAAAUUCGUAGAUAUCGAGAGGAACACCGGUGGCGAAGGCGGCGAUCUGGACAGUGACUGACGCUGAGACGCGAAAGCGUGGGGAGCAAACAGG
rnacentral:rRNA from 1 species